rnacentral:tRNA from 1 species
GGCUGUAACUCAAGUGGUAGAGUGCUUGCCUAACAUGUGCCAGCCCCUGGGUUCAAUCCCCAGUACCA